AGUAGUACACUAGCACGUCUAAUCAAGGAUGUAUAGAGUAAACAUUGACAGGCUUGAAGAGCCAUGAUGACUUGGCCCACACAUGUGGGAUAAAGGAGAGCUUGUUGAAAAGAUAGCUCUAAAUCUGGGCUAACUGGGGUAACAGCUGCUCCUGAGGCAUUCAGGCAAAUACGUAAAAUCUCCGUUCCUCUGGCGCCAAUCACUCUGACAGCCCAAUUGUGACUCAUCACAUUCUAGCCCACAGAACUCCAUUUAAAACAGGGAUCCUUGAACUUCUCACGACCUGAGUUUUGCACCAAGCUUCUCUCCUGAGAAUGGACAUGGGGAUCAAGUUCAACACAUAGUCAGAGAGGGCGUGAAAGAGUUCUUAGAAUUUGGGACCACUGGCCCUCCUUCCAUGUUACCACCCAGCACCUCUUCUUCGGUAGCAUGAUGGAUGACAGAACUAUUUAUGAACUUCUCAGCCUUCAGCUGCCUGGAUACAUGGAGCACGAGCGUUUUAGUUUUUUACCAGAACUUUACCACUGUUGCCUAAAGAGACAUUGACAAGGGAAUACGUCUAAUAUUGGUGGGAUUUCAAACAUAAAUAAUUUCAA